rnacentral:rRNA from 1 species
UACGAAGGGGGCUAGCGUUGUUCGGAAUCACUGGGCGUAAAGGGCGCGUAGGCGGCCGAUCAAGUCGGGGGUGAAAGCCUGUGGCUCAACCACAGAAUUGCCUUCGAUACUGUUUGGCUUGAGACCGGAAGAGGUUAGUGGAACUGCGAGUGUAGAGGUGAAAUUCGUAGAUAUUCGCAAGAACACCAGUGGCGAAGGCGGCUGACUGGCCC